CUGUAUAAUAAUAAAACAGGCGGGCGGAGUCUCCGAUUAGACGAAGACGGCGACGACGAUUCUGCGGGGAGAUUGUGGAGCUCUCUCUCAAACGAUCAAUCUUUAAUCUUCUCUUCAUCGUUACAGAUUGAUCAUUUUAGAUCUCCCGCGCUCCCCCCGCCGAUCUCACGUCGUUAAUUUCUGCACUUGCUUUGAAGUUUCAAUUUGUCCUGUAAAUUUUUAUUUAUUUUUACUUUCACUUCCUAUGUAAAAAUUGGCCUCCUCGUAGUUCGAGUGCGUUUGGCGGGAAAUCAAUAUUUGUCAUUGUCUUAGAUUUUCGUCGUUUUGGGAGGUUUAUUAAGUUUGAAAAUCGCAACACUAGCAAUUAUUGUGUAUUUGUAUAUGCAUUGAGGCCUUGAGGGUGUAUAGAAAAACGGACAGGGGAUUUGGGAGUGAUGGCGGUUUCCGACAACGCGAGAGGGCUAAUUCUGGCAAUGUUGUCAAGCUUGUUUAUCGGGACGAGCUUUAUCUUGAAGAAGAAGGGGCUGAAGCGUGCUGCCGCCGGCGGUACUCGAGCAGGUGUUGGGGGCUAUUCUUACUUGCAAGAACCUCUUUGGUGGGCUGGCAUGAUUACUAUGAUUGUUGGAGAAGUUGCAAACUUUGUGGCUUAUGUUUAUGCCCCAGCAGUUCUUGUGACCCCCCUUGGUGCAUUGAGUAUAAUAGUCAGUGCUGUUUUGGCACACUUUAUGUUGAAAGAACGACUACGGAAACUAUGCAUGCUGGGUUGUGCUUCGUGUAUUGUAGGGUCUGUGGUAAUUGUAAUACAUGCUCCUCAGGAGCGUGUGCCAACUUCUAUUCAAGAAAUCUGGAAUUUGGCAACUCAACCAGCAUUUUUAAUUUAUGUAGCAGCAACAUUAUUGAUUGUGCUGGCAUUGAUAUUGCAUUUCGAGGCUCAGUAUGGGCAGACAAACUUACUGGUUUACUUGGGUAUUUGUUCCUUAAUGGGUUCAUUGACGGUUGUGAGCAUAAAAGCCAUUGGAAUUGCAAUAAAACUUACUCUAGAGGGAAUAAGUCAAAUUGCAUAUCCACAAACAUGGUUUUUUCUCAUGGUUACAGUGAUAUGUGCAAUCACACAGUUGAAUUACCUAAACAAGGCACUUGAUACAUUCAAUACAGCAAUUGUUUCUCCAGUAUAUUAUGUAUUGUUCACCACCCUUACCAUUGUUGCGAGCGCAAUAAUGUUCAAGGACUGGGCAGAACAAGAUGCUAGCAGCAUAGCAUCUGAGAUAUGUGGAUUUGUGACUGUACUUUCUGGAACCAUUAUACUUCACGUUGCUAGAGAACAGGAACCAACAAAUCCUCCGGGAACCAUAAUUUGGUAUGAUGAAGAACAGAUAAAAGAUAUGGAGGAUGCACAUUAUAUUACAUUGCAGAGUUCAGAGUAUUUCACAUGAUUUUAUAAUGUACAGAGAUGGUUGUGAUUUAUGAGAGUCUCAUUCCCAGCAGUACAAUAUGUCCAAACUGACUUCAUUUGCAGCUUCACUGGAAUAGAAUUCCUAAUUUUUGCUAAGCAAGUACUUACACUUGCCAGUUCUUCAUUCUGGGUUGAACAAGUUGCUGAGGUCUACAUAGGGAGAAAUGUGGUUUGAUCAAUUCGAUGUGCAUUAUCCGAAGAAAUCUUGAUCUGUUGGCACAUGAACUUGUGGAUACUGCAUCCGUUUGAGUCAUUUUCUUGACCCUUGCUUAUACGGUUCAAUAUUGAAGAUGGAACUCUUGUUUAGAAUCUGGUUCAACUAAAAAUAUUUCCAACUGAAAGCUUAAGCUGUUCGUUACAGUAUAAACUGCUCCAGGGUGGAUAUAUUGUUAAAAUGCUUGGUGUAUUUGAAGAAAAAGAAGUGCAUUGUUCUCUU